CAGGUGGCUGCAUUGCUGUUCUUCAGCUCGUGUCGUGAGAUGUUGGGUUAAGUCCCCGCCACGAGCGCCACCCUUUUCAUUAGUUGCUACGCAAGAGCACUCUAAUGAGACUGCCGGUGACAAACCGGAGGAAGGUGGGGAUGACGUCAAGUCCUCAUGGCCCUUAUGGGUAGGGCUUCACACGUCAUACAAUGGUCGGGACAGAGGGUCGCCAACCCGCGAGGGGGAGCCAAUCUCAGAAACCCGAUCGUAGUCCGGAUCGCAGUCUGCAACUCGACUGCGUGAAGUCGGAAUCGCUAGUAAUCGCGGAUCAGAAUGUCGCGGUGAAUACGUUCCCGGGUCUUGUACACACCGCCCGUCACACCAUGGGAGUGGGUUUCACCAGAAGUAGGUAGCCUAACCGCAAGGAG
rnacentral:rRNA from 1 species